AGGUUGGGCUUCAUUUUGCAGCUGGGAAGAAGCAAGACCUCACAUACUUUGCAUACAAAGCUGCAGGCUGAGGGGUCUCCAGCUCAGUUAGAUCUCGGGCAGCUGGAUUGAAAGGGUGUCUUGCCCAAGACUCUGGAAAGCUGAAGACUCAGAGUUUGACCAAACUGGGUCGGACUGGCCAGCGAUUCACUAGACUGCAUGGCCAUAUUCAGAGUAUGCUCAGAGACCCAGAGUGCUGGAGCCUUUUAAACAACCCUGAGUACUCAAAUGCGGACCUGAGCGGCCACCCCCGUCAAUUACUCCAGCAUCUCUACCUCCUGACUUCCACACCUGAGUUAUUUUUAUUGCUUGAAUCAUCAGAAAUCGAUUAGCGACUGAUGGCAACGAUCUUCCAGCCCGUGAGCAAAGUUUCACAGUUCCAGGACGAUCGAGCAAGUGAUUCUGUGUGGUAAACCUGUGUCUGGGCUGCACACCAUUUCAGACUGGAGGUGGGGAUUCGCACAGUGGAAAGCUGCAACUGCUUUUGAAGAUUUUAAAAACAGCGUGCCAGAGAGAAGGAAAAUCUACUGUUCUGAAGGAAGCAGGGCCCAAUCCAACCUGCAAUCAGGCCAGCAUGGUUCCAGAAUGCCAGAAGGUUGAGAUGUGGCUUAGCAUCCAUGGCAUUGAUCUGCAAGGCAAAGGUGAGUCUGGUGUAAUGAGCCUUGAAGCAGUGAAUUGCCCCUUG